UACGUAGGUGGCAAGCGUUGUCCGGAUUUACUGGGCGUAAAGAGCGCGCAGGCGGCCAACUAAGUCAGACGUGAAAUCCCUCGGCUUAACCGGGGAACUGCGUCUGAUACUGGAUGGCUUGAAUCCGGGAGAGGGAUGCGGAAUUCCAGGUGUAGCAGUGAAAUGCGUAGAGAUCUGGAGGAACACCGAUGGCGAAGGCAGCCCCCUGGGCUAACACUGACGCUCAUGCACGAAAGCGUGGGGAGCAAACAGG
rnacentral:rRNA from 1 species